rnacentral:rRNA from 1 species
GAUGAACGCUGGCGGCGUGCCUAAUACAUGCAAGUCGAGCGAACGGACGAGAAGCUUGCUUCUCUGAUGUUAGCGGCGGACGGGUGAGUAACACGUGGAUAACCUACCUAUAAGACUGGGAUAACUUCGGGAAACCGGAGCUAAUACCGGAUAAUAUUUUGAACCGCAUGGUUCAAAAGUGAAAGACGGUCUUGCUGUCACUUAUAGAUGGAUCCGCGCUGCAUUAGCUAGUUGGUAAGGUAACGGCUUACCAAGGCAACGAUGCAUAGCCGACCUGAGAGGGUGAUCGGCCACACUGGAACUGAGACACGGUCCAGACUCCUACGGGAGGCAGCAGUAGGGAAUCUUCCGCAAUGGGCGAAAGCCUGACGGAGCAACGCCGCGUGAGUGAUGAAGGUCUUUGGAUCGUAAAACUCUGUUAUUAGGGAAGAACAUAUGUGUAAGUAACUGUGCACAUCUUGACGGUACCUAAUCAGAAAGCCACGGCUAACUACGUGCCAGCAGCCGCGGUAAUACGUAGGUGGCAAGCGUUAUCCGGAAUUAUUGGGCGUAAAGCGCGCGUAGGCGGUUUUUUAGUCUGAUGUGAAAGCCCGCGGCUCAACCGUGGAGGGUCAUUGGAAACUGGAAAACUUGAGUGCAGAAGAGGAAAGUGGAAUUCCAUGUGUAGCGGUGAAAUGCGCAGAGAUAUGGAGGAACACCAGUGGCGAAGGCGACUUUCUGGUCUGUAACUGACGCUGAUGUGCGAAAGCGUGGGGAUCAAACAGGAUUAGAUACCCUGGUAGUCCACGCCGUAAACGAUGAGUGCUAAGUGUUAGGGGGUUUCCGCCCCUUAGUGCUGCAGCUAACGCAUUAAGCACUCCGCCUGGGGAGUACGACCGCAAGGUUGAAACUCAAAGGAAUUGACGGGGACCCGCACAAGCGGUGGAGCAUGUGGUUUAAUUCGAAGCAACGCGAAGAACCUUACCAAAUCUUGACAUCCUUUGACAACUCUAGAGAUAGAGCUUUCCCCUUCGGGGGACAAAGUGACAGGUGGUGCAUGGUUGUCGUCAGCUCGUGUCGUGAGAUGUUGGGUUAAGUCCCGCAACGAGCGCAACCCUUAAGCUUAGUUGCCAUCAUUAAGUUGGGCACUCUAAGUUGACUGCCGGUGACAAACCGGAGGAAGGUGGGGAUGACGUCAAAUCAUCAUGCCCCUUAUGAUUUGGGCUACACACGUGCUACAAUGGACAAUACAAAGGGCAGCGAAACCGUGAGGUCAAGCAAAUCCCAUAAAGUUGUUCUCAGUUCGGAUUGUAGUCUGCAACUCGACUACAUGAAGCUGGAAUCGCUAGUAAUCGUAGAUCAGCAUGCUACGGUGAAUACGUUCCCAGGUCU